AACACAUGCAGUACAGUGCUGUCCUCGAGUAGACCUGCUGGGACCGGAGCAGGGACACAACAACACAGUUUGAUCUUUCUGCUGCCAUGUGUGGUACCUCAGCACAACACACCCAAAGACGCACACCCACAUGUGCAGCCGCACCGAGAGGCUCCACUGAUCUGGAGGGGUAAAGCCUGGUAUACAAAGACGGCAUCAGAGAGCCACAUCACACAGAAGGGAAGCCAUAUAGUAUUUAUCAACCAACAAAGACACCAACACUCACACACACACACACACGGGGACGGACCCAGUGAUGCGCAGCAAGAAUGUGAUGUGUUUUCUUUGUCAUGUUAAUCAGUUCCUUGGGGGUUGGUUGCCACAAUAAAGUGAAUAAUAAAUCACA